rnacentral:miRNA from 1 species
CUUGGAAGGCAAGGCCUCCUAGUCAUGCUUGAGAGUGAGCCGGUCAGAGAGAUACUCACCCAGAGAUGGCUGUGGCCCAGCCAGCUACGGAGACCGGUCAGGUGGUUGCCU